rnacentral:lncRNA from 1 species
CUUUCACCCCUCCACGACCUCAGCACAUACAUACGUUCUGCCCCACCGGCCCUCAGCGAAGCAGUCCUCCAGCGCGCAGCUGCGAGUGAGUGAGCACGUGGUGCGCAGACCCUCUGGACGCAUGCGCACCGGCACCCAGUUCCUCCCUGGUGUGAGAGCCUCAGACUCUGCAGGGGGAAGGUGCGCUGUUCUGAGGCCCCUGGACAGGCAAGCCUCCUGGGUGGCAAACCAAGGAGAGGAGCUGGAAGUCCUUGGCAUUCACAGCCAUACACUAAACCAGACUAAAAAUUGGCAUAGACACAGGCCCACAUCUGGAGGAUAUUAGUCUGCCCAAAGGAAUUCAGCCUGUGAACUGGUCUUUAUCACUGUGUUUCAAAGGGAGAGAAACAAAACAACAAUAAGAAAACAAAACAAAGGUG